rnacentral:misc_RNA from 1 species
GGAAAUACAAAUCGAUUUAUAAUAUUUAGGCUAAGUGGAAGAUCCAAUGUGUCUGAAAGAUAGCAUCUGCAGUUCCCUUAAAACAAAACUUAUCUGUUCCAAAUCUUUGUUGGUAAUUGAAUCAUACACUUGCAAAAUGCAGUCUAUAAAGGCAAGAUUAUAUAUCAAAUACAAGACGCAUGAAGCAGAAAACCAUACUAUUCUUCUGUGGAACUGCUACUGAACGAGUCCAGAAAGCUCCGGGCAGCAUCCAAACUAAGUUCUUCGUUAACAAGUUUAUUGUGUAUCUGUUGAAAUGAGUUACAGAAUCUCUCUGCUUCAACCUUUC